rnacentral:misc_RNA from 1 species
UUUUUUCCCGGUGCCCCACGCCGUGGGGGUUAUCGCGUAGGGAUAUGUAGUGCCGGCGCCUGUAGUGGGUGUUCGGUGGGUGCGAACAACAUUUCCCUCGUUGGUGGGGGACAAGACCGCCAGG